rnacentral:rRNA from 1 species
UACGGAGGGUGCAAGCGUUAUCCGGAUUUAUUGGGCUUAAAGGGUGCGUAGGUGGGUUGGUAAGUCAGUGGUGAAAUCUCCAGGCUUAACUUGGAAACUGCCAUUGAUACUAUCAAUCUUGAAUGCCGUGGAGGUCAGCGGAAUAUGUCAUGUAGCGGUGAAAUGCUUAGAUAUGACAUAGAACACCAAUUGCGAAGGCAGCUGGCUACACGAAUAUUGACACUGAUGCACGAAAGCGUGGGGAGCAAACAGG